AACAGCUGCGGUAUUAUAACUGUACUAAGGUAGCAUAAUAAUUUGCCUUAUAAAUUAGGGCUAGAAUGAAUGGUUUGACGAAAAUUAUACUGUCUUUAUUUUAAUUAAUAGAAAUUAAUUUUUAUAGUGAAAAAGCUUAAAUGAUUUAAAGGGACGAGAAGACCCUAUUGAGCUUUAUAUUAGUUAUAAUAAAUAAUAAAAUUUUAUUUAUUUGGUUAAAUAAUAUUAUGUUUAUUAUGUUUAAUUUUGAUUGGGGUGAUCAAGGAAUAAGAUAAGUAUAAUUUAACUUCCUUAAAAAUAAUUUUUUUAUAGAAUAAUUAACCAAUAAUAUUGCUUAUAUGAUAAGUUACCAUAGGGAUAACAGCGUAAUUUUUUUGGAGAGUUCAUAUUAAAAAAAAAGAUUGCGACCUCGAUGUUGGAUUAAAAUAACCAUAUGGUGACGAGGCUAUAUAUG
rnacentral:rRNA from 1 species